UUAGAGUAAUAAUUUAAAUUACCUCGAGUUUCUUGGCGAUUGCAUAGUAACGAGGGUCAACAGGGACCCAAAAGAUAUGUUGUCUAUCCUCUGGAGUGCCAAAUACAGGGAAUACUUCUUCAGGUUGGUACCAUAUAUUGUUAAGAAGAUUGUUAUGUGAGUUGCAAUUUGUCACAUUCACACUGUAUUCUGAAAUUUUUAAGUAUCCAAUAUCUCUUGUGUAAUCUCCAUUCACUUCAAGCGGUAGUUCAUUUUCAGCGCCAUCUCCAUAUCUCUGCAUCCAGUAUUUUAUUUUUUAUAAUAUAAGUUUGAUGACUUUUCUCAAAUAUAAUAAAAUGGAACAACCAAAGACUUUUAAACCUAAACUAUAUAAAUUUUAAUUUUUCAACACAGUUUUGCUCUUAUAAAAUCGUCAGAGUUCCUCAUUUUUUUUUGUAUAAAGUUAAAAAAAAUAAAAAAAAUCGAGGGACUCCGUCAGUUUUCUUGUAAAAAAAAUAAUUAUAACUUUCGCGUUGAAAAAAUUAAGAUUUUAAAUUUUUUAUUGAAAAAUCUAUGCAGUGCGUCGGUUUUUGACUAGUAUAAAGAAAUGAAUUUGGUUUAGUGCUUGGACACACUAAAACUUGGUUUACGUGAACUUUGCUUCUACGUCUUAACAUAUGUUUUACCUAUCCUAAUAUUGACUUUUACUAGUCUAAAAUUUACUUGUAACGAUAUCGGAUUGCUUUGACUUUUUUAGAUUCCAAUAAUCCAAUUCUCAUUGACCAAUUUUUUUUAAAAAACAUUUUCCUUCGUAUCAAACACCAAAAAUUCUGCACCGCCCCUACGUAAAAUUCCCAAAAAUGAAUUGAAAAAGUAAGUACCUGCCAAUUCCAAAGAGCAGUAUGUGCCCAAUAUUGAGGAAUUGCAACAUCUCCAAUAUUUAGAGAUGGAUUUGCAUUUCCUGCUAUUCCAUAAUGCACCACUCCUUUAACAUCGAACAAUGCUAACAACAAUUGUGUUGUUAUCCCAGCAUUUAGCUGAAACAAUUAAACAAACACAAAAUCGAUCUAUCGAUCAAAACCGUAUAAUUAAUUAAUACAUACGUACAACGUAACAAUUAUAAUUAUAAAUAUUAACACACCAUGGCAAGUCCAGUCAUAACCAAAACGACAGGCUGAUUAUCAAUGUGUCCAAACCGAAAUCUCCUCCCUUAGGAUGAUAAACAAACGUAAAUAUAUAUAAUCGAUAAGCAAGUGAUCGAAAAAACGUAAAAUAAUGUGUAUAUGUUUUAGUUUAAUUACCAGCAUAAUCAAUGGUAAGAUCACUAGGUUUGUAACUAGGAUGUUGAAGAAGAGGAUUCAUCUCAAAUAAAUUUGGAAUGACUAAUCCCAAAUAAGGUCCUUUUUUGUUAGCCAUAUCAAUUAAUUUUCUAGUCUUUCCACUUAUAGUACCAUUUGCUUCUUCUAGAGUAAUAAUUAGAACCAUGAAAGCCAAAACCAAUGACAAAAAAAGCUUGGAAGAAAUUGCCAUGGUAUAUAUAUGUAGAAACUUUUGAGUUUUAGAGAAAAGAGAGCUAAUUAAGAGAAUAGUAUUGACAAGGGAAACUAAUAACAAAGCCCUCAUAUUUAUAGUAAUUAUAAUUAUAUUACGUUGCAUCAUCCAUCAAUUAUUCGACUAUUUUUUAAUAUAUAUAUUUUGUCAUGUAAAAGUUUUGUAUUAGGCCAAACACAUACGCAGCAUCUGAAACUUGUCCUUAUUUUUCAUUUUGACCAUCUAUCAGGUCUUGUUCCAUUUUAAUUAAUCCUUAAACUCUAUUUUUAUGUACUAUUUAAACACAAAAUAUUAUUUUUAUGAUUUCUUUAUUUUUUAUUUAUGUUCUUCAAUUGUUGUGUGUCAAUUAAUUUCAUUUUUAAAAAAUAAAAAUAAAAUAAUGAACAUCGAUUUUUUUUUUGAAAUAAUAAUAUUAUUUUUUGAGAUUUCUCUGUAUUUUUGCAUGAAAAUAAAUCAAUGAAACUAAUUUGAUUUUCUUUCUUAAAGAUUCAACUAAAUUAAAUAAUGUCACAUAUUUUAUUUUUUUCAUAUCAUCUAGUAUAUCUGAAUUUAAUGCAAAUAUUCGUUUUGUAAUUUUUAAUUUAACUCAAUACAAAUAAAAAAACUCAUCUUCAUUACGAGUAAUAAAAAGCUCUUGUUCAUUGCUAAUAACACUACUAAAAAAUGCUAAAACUUGACAGAUUUCUUUGGGAUGUCAAUGAUCUUUUAAGAAAGAAAAUUAAACCAACACAAUUUCGCAUGCUAUUUUUCACGCAAAAUACAGAAAAACUCUCAAGAAGAUUAUUUUUAAUCUUUUUUUAAUGAAAAUUAACAAACACACAUUGAUUUUUAAAAUAAGAAACAACAAUUAAAGAAUAUAAAUAAAAUAAAGAAAUCAUAAAAUUAGUAUUUCAUGUUUAAAUGGUAUAUUAAAAAAAAUAGAGUUUAAGGGUUAAAAUAAAAUAAUGCUAUAAUAUAAUGCCAAAAUGAAAAAAUGAGGAAAAGUGUGAGGAAUUGUGUAUGUGUUUGGCCUUUGUAUAACAACACUAGUUUUGGCAUGAAUCAUGAUACUCGACAAUAUCCUCUUAGACGAUAUUAUUGGUACUAAUCAACUAAUAAUUGUCACCUCAGAUAUCACUAUUUAAUGGUAAUAAUUUUAUUUUAUUUUUAAAUUCAUUUGACGGUAAUAGUUAUUUCUAUAAAAAUAGAGUUAAUUUUAUUGUAUCUAGAGUUACUAAAUUUUUUGAACGAUAUUUUUAUAAACUAAUAUUGAUUCUAGAUGCUCAUAUUAUAUUGGCGAUAAUGAUGUAUAUACAUUACUAUAUAUCGUUUUAAAGAAAGUGAAGAUCUAAUACAAGAAGAAUUUAGUUGUGACGGUUCAAGAUAACGGUUGUUACAAUUUCUUUCAGAGUUAUAUAUACCCUCAAAUUAAAGAUCGUUAUAAGUUUUAACAUUCUUUCGUUAUAACAUAUUUCAUUAUUUUUUCAAAUUUUUUAAUCAAUUAGCUAGGUUAAUAAUAAUUCCAAUACAAUCGUCCACUUUAACUUACAAAGUAGUACUAAUUUUGAAAGGCUUAGUUUACGUGUUUAAGUAUAUGUGAUAUGAAAUUAUGAUUUUAAAUCACUAUUGGACAUAUGACUAGAAUUGUGAUUUCAAAUUUCAACUUUUACAAAAAUAUAUGAUUUGAGAUUCUAAAUCAUGAUUUCAACUUUUUAAAUAUAAAAUUUGUAAAAAAAAAAAAAAAAAAAAAAAAACAGAUCUGUCAUUUUAAAUUUUACAUCAAAAGACUCAUACUUGACAUAAAAAAAUUAUUUAUAUCAUAUGAAAUGAUUAUAUUAAAGAAUGUCUGCACUACUAAAAUAACAUGAAAUUAUUUAGAAAACUUACCAAAAGAGCAUCCUGAUAUUUAUAUAUUUCAAAGAAGGAGAACGGUAAAAAAUAUAACAACAAUGACAAUAAAUAAAUAAAAUUAUUUUUAAAAUAUAGUACUGUUGUAAAAUCUCUAUCAGAUGAAUAAGCUCUUAUAAUAUAUUCCAAUUGUAAUGUAGUUGUUGAUGAAUGAUGAUACUUCUAUAUCACGAUAAUAUUUAAUUUGCAGGCCUCUCUUUCAAGUGUCAACUAUCCUUUUUCUCCUCAAGAUCUACAAUUAUAUUUGAUUUUCUUACUGCUUAAUUCAUCAGCAUACUUCAUUUUCAAUAGCUAUGAGAUGAUCAUCUUAGAGUGAUUCUUUUGUCGAUAAAUACUCUCGACGAAAGAACAAAGAAGGAGGAAAAAGGCAUCUUCGAUGAAAUAUUGAAGACAUCUUAAAAUACAAACUACAUGAAUUUUGGUUGACACUUAUAACUUAUUAGUUACUAUUCGAAUUUCGAGGAGGCCGAUUGGAAUCACCGUGAGGCUCGGGCCCUAGAUAAUUCUAGAACCAAGUUGUUGGAGGAUGAAGAGGAAGAAAGAGAGGCUUGUAGUCGUUUCUAUUACCCAGGCCAAAGCAAAAAUUUAUAUCAUUAUUUGUAAACUCUAUAUUUCAUACAUAAAUUUAUGUGGUACGAUUUAAUAUUUUUUUAAUUUAUUUUUAUAAAGCUAAAAACCUAUCUAAUUAAUUCGAUACAACUAUAUAUAAAUUUAUAUAAAUCAAUAUUUUUAUUUCUUAAAAAUUAGUAAUCUAUUUGAAGAUUAAGUCAACUUUUAAAAAACUAUGACACGCCCGUGACCCUAUCUCAAACAAUUGUUACCGUUCACGGUUUGGAUAAAAAUCGAUCCAAACCAAAAAUUCAAAUCAAAUCGAUAAAAUAAAUUGAUUUUAUUUAGAUUUGGUUUGAUUUUAGAUUUUUGAAAACAGAUAGUAUUUGGUUUGGUUAUGGUUUUAUUUGAAAAAAUUGAAGAAAUAACUAAAUUGAACCGAUAAAUUACAUAUAUUUUAUUAAUAUACAUACUUAAUAUAUAUAUUUUUAUAAAUAAUUUUAAAGAUCUUAUAUACGUUUUCAUCAAAAUUUCUUUAUAAUUUACUUAUUGAAAGCAAAAAUGUCUUAGGUGAAAACAUUUAUCUUAUUGAUUUCAUGUAUAUGAGUGUGUAUGACAAUUCUUUGUGGGACUGAAAAAUGUUACUGUCUCCUUCUAGGCCAAAAUUGUGAAUUUUAAAGCUUUAUUCAUAUUAAUUCAGUGAUCGAAAGUUCAGUAAUUUCAGUCAAUCUAACUAUUUUUCAUUUUGAAUUGAUUGUUUUCACUUUUUGAAUGAAUUGUUUCUUUUAUUUUCUUGUAUGGUUAAUAACUGAAUAACCAAACCAAACCAAAUCGAAACCGAUAAAUGUAUAUUAUAUUUGGUUUGGUUUGAUUUUGAUGGUUUUAAAACCGAUUAAAUUGGUUUGAUUUUAAUUGACCAAUAAUCGAUCCAAGCCUACCUAUGAACACCCCUAGUUACAACUUACAAUCAUUCAAACAUAUCAAUUGAUUAUUACUCUAUAUUACUAUCAUUAUUAAACAUGUCAAAAAUGGAGUAAAAGAAACUAUUGCGUUGAUUAAAAAAACCAAGACGCAAUCAAAUACCGUUGAUCGAUUUUCCACUAUAUAAGCAUGUGAAUAUAAUUAUUUACAUUUAACAAGAAUGAGAAUAGAUGAUAAUAAAUAAUUUACCUUGAUUUUCUUGGCAAUUGCAAAGUAAAUAGGGUCAACAGGGACCAAAAGAUAUGUCGCAAUUAAAAAAUAAAGAGAUAAGUGUCAAAAAUACACUUAAACUAUCCCCAUUUGAGUUUCAUAUCUAAACUAUUGAAAGUGUAAGUUUCAUACCUAAACUAUCAUUUUUUAGUUUGAGAAACACACAUAUGUGGUGUGUGUAAUGCACUCUCUCUUUUAUUUGAAAAAACCUUGACACAUGACAUUCCACAUGGAUAAAAUAUUCCACAUUGAACAAAAAUUAAAUAAUAAACUAUUAAUAUUAAUUAAAAAAAAUAAAUUAAAGUAAUACUAUCCCCCAAAAAAAAAAAAAUUUAAAAUAUUUUAUCCCCCCGUCCUUUUUGCUUGAAUUUUGUAUUAUUGUGUGAAUAUAUGUUAUCAUUUUGCUUAAAUUUUUACAUAUUUAUCUAUUUUAAAUAUAAAUAUUGAGAAAAUGACCCUCCUAAUUAUUCAAUUUACCAGAGAUAAUAUCUUAAGACUCAUGUAUUCAAAGUUUAAUACAUUUUAAUCUUAAAAACAAUGAUAAAAAUGAGGCUGAACUCCUAGAAUCAAAAUCCCUUCUUCAACAUUUCAAAUUUGACAAAUUCAAUGAUGACAUUUGUUGCUUCUUUUUUCUUCUAAGUAAUUUAAAUAUAAUUGAGAACACUAUAAUAUUAAAUCAUGCUCGUUUUUAUUUCUUUCAAAUUGACUGUCAUGGAGUUUUUUCCUUAAUGAUGUCAUUAAUUAUAUCUUUCAUUUAUUUUUUUCAAGAAAAGACUUUUUUUAAAAGAAUUAUAUAUAUAUAUAUAUGUAGCGUACAAUAAUUAUAGGUAUGACUUUCUAAGAGUUUUCUUUGAAUACUUUAUCUAUUGAUGACACUAAUUCUAUGUGGCUUUUACAAGACAACAAAAAAACCGUCAUGCAUUCAAUGUUUAACUCAAAUCCAACAAAUACUUCUUCACAUACACAUUUUUUAAUAAAAAUACAUGGUAUAUACUUUUUCAGAGAUCAAGUAUUUUAUUAACUAAAAGAAAAGAAGGAAAUUAAUUGAAUUUAAUAAUGUUUUGUAGGUAGAAAGUUUCUAAAGGACAAAAGUCACAUGUUUUACGCCGAAAAUUUAUUAUCAUCAAUGAUUGAGUACGAUCUCGAGACACUAGCUAAUUAGGAACAAAAAUUCUCUUCCUAGUUGAAUUAAUUAGCUAUUAAUCUCUAUUAUUGUUAAAUCCAAGUCCAGUAGAUAGGUUAUUGGGUGCACACAUAAUUAUGUCCAAAGUAAAAAUUACAAAUAGUUAAGGUGAAAUGAUACUUUUAAUAAUAUUUUAACGUGAAAAUCACGAAUACAUUUAGAUUAGACUUAAUCCCAAGAAAUUUCCUUCUCAAUUUUUGCUUAUUUUCGCACAAAUUCCAUUAUUAGGCAAAUUCAACGUGCUAGUAAUACACAUCAAAGUUCAUUCGAUGAAGAAAUCUUGAAAUCAAGCAUCUUGAUAUUUCUUCGAAGACAAUUGCUUGAUGAAUUGCACAGUGACUUCAACGGAGUUGGUAGCAGCAAGGGUGAUGAAGGUGGAGGCCUCGUUGGACUCGGAAGUGCCACCUCCGGCCAUGUCAGAGAGGGCACGGAUAACGAUGUAAGGUACAUUCUGUUGGUAACAAAUGAGAGCCACAGCAGCACUUUCCAUUUCAACAGGGCUAACAUCAAACUUGUUGUAGAUAAAACUCCUAUAUGCUGCAUUAUCUAAGUAUAUGCUUGCACUUGUUCCUCUAUGUACUCUUGUUACUUUUGGUGGAUGGCUCAAGCAUGUCGUUGCGUUUAAGCACCCUUCCAGCUUCAAUCCCUAGUUACACAAACACAUCAAAAAAGUUAUUUAGUUUCUCAUGAAGUACUUUCUGUCUAUUUGCAUAGUAACAACAUGUAAUAUUGUAUAGUAAUAAAUGGACUGACCCAUAUUGACAGCUCUAAGUAUUAGAGUAAUAAUUUAAAUUACCUCGAGUUUCUUGGCGAUUGCAUAGUAACGAGGGUCAACAGGGACCCAAAAGAUAUGUUGUCUUUCCUCUGGAGUGCCAAAUACAGGGAAUACUUCUUCAGGUUGGUACCAUAUAUUGUUAAGAAGAUUGUUAUGUGAGUUGCAAUUUGUCACAUUCACACUGUAUUCUGAAAUUUUUAAGUAUCCAAUAUCUCUUGUGUAAUCUCCAUUCACUUCAAGCGGUAGUUCAUUUUCAGGGCCAUCUCCAUAUCUCUGCAUCCAGUAUUUUAUUUUUUAUAAUAUAGUAAUAAUUAAAUUGAAACAACCAAAUAUUUUUUAACCUAAACUAUACGAUUUUUUUCAACUAUUUUUCUUUAUUGCACAAUUUCAAUAUGAGGAACUUAAAAUUCAAAAAAAAAUAGUAGUUAUUUGAAAACCCUACGCAGUCCGUCAGUCUUUGUUCUUCGAAGACUUGGAGCAUGGACACAAUAUAAUUUGGUUUACGUGAACUUUGCUUCUACGUCUUAAUAUAUCCUAAUAUUGACUUUUCUUAGAGUCUAAUAUUUUUCCGCUGACCAAUUUUUUUUAGAAAAACAUUUUCCUUUGUAUCAAACACCAAUAACUUUUAGCCGUCCUUGCGUAAAAUUCCCCAAAAUGCAUUGAAAAGUAAGUACCUGCCAAUUCCAAAGAGCAGUAUGUGCCCAAUACUGAGGAAUUGCAACAUCUCCAAUAUUUAGAGAUGGAUUUGCAUUCCCUGCAAUUCCAUAGUGCACCACACCUUUAACAUUGAACAAUGCUAACAAAAGUUGUGUUGUUAUCCCAGCGUUUAGCUGAAAAAUUCAAGAAAAAACGUAUAAUUAAUUAAUACGUACGUAUAACGUCACAAUUAUUAUAAUUAUAAAAGGGAAGAUAUAUAUAUAAAUUUACACACCAUGGCAAGUCCAGUCAUAACCAAAACGACAGGUUGAUUAUCAAUGUGUCCAAACCGAAAUCUCCUCCCUUAGGAUGAUAAACAAACGUAAAUAUAUAAUCGAUAAGCAAGUGAUCGAAAAAACGUAAAAUAAUGUGUAUAUGUUUUAGUUUAAUUACCAGCAUAAUCAAUGGUGAGAUCACCAGGUUUGUAACUAGGAUGUUGAAGAAGAGGGUUCAUUUCAAAUAGAUUUGGAAUGACUAAUCCCAAAUAAGGUCCGUUUUUGUUAGCCAUAUCAAUUAAUUUUCUAGUCUUUCCACUAAUAGCACCAUUUGCUUCUUCUAGGGUAGUAAUUAGAACCAAGAAAACCAAAACUAAUGACAAAAAAAGCUUGGAUAUUGCCAUGGUAGACACUUUGAGUUUGAGAGAAGAGAGAGCUAAAGAGAAUAGUAUUGACAAGGGAAACCAAACAAAGCCCUCAUAUUUAUAGUAAAAUUAUACCUACACAUGUUGAUUUUUAUGCAUUUUAAGAUUAAAAUAAUUAAAAAAUGUUAGUGAGUAUAAAUGGACAAGAAUGUGAUCAAUAUUCUGAUUUCACUCUUGUAACUAGGGUUCUUCACACAUCGGUUUGGAUCGGUUAUUGGUCAAAAUCAAAACCAAAUCAACUUAAUCGGUUUUAAAAAUUAUCAAAACCAAACCAAAUCAAAUAUAAUAUACAUUUUAUCGGUUUGGUUGUUAUCAGUUUCGAUUUGGUUUGGUUCGGUUAUUCGGUUAUUAAUCAUACACAAAAAUAAAAGAAACAAUUCAUUCAAAACGUCAAAAAAGUGACAACAAUCCAUUCAAAACGAAAAAAUAGUUAGAAUGACUGACAUUAAAGAACGUUCAAUCACUGAAUUUACUAUGAAUAAAGCUUCAAAAAUUCACUAGUUUGCCCUAGAAAGAAGAAACAAUGAAUUUAUUCAGUCCUACAAAGAAUUGUCAUAGACACUCGAUCAUAUAUAUGAAACCAAUAAGAUAUAUGUUCUCAUCUUGGGCAUUUUUGCUUUCAUUAGUAAAUUAUAAAUAAAUUUUGAUAAAAAAACAUCUAUAAGAUCUUUAAAAUUGUUUAUAAAAAUAAUGUACUAUGUAUUCAUAAUAAUAAAAUAUAUGUAUAUAAUUGGGAAAAGGGUUUGAAAAAUACUCCAACUUUGGCCGAAAUUGUUGUUACGAUACCAAACUUUUAUGGAGGACCUUUUACCCCCUGCACUAUUUAAUAGUGUAUUUUUAAAAGUUAACAUAUGUGCCCACGUGGACACGUUACUAUUUAUAAUAAUGAAAUAUUUAUGAUGUCCACGUGACACAUAUAUACCUUUAAAAUACACUACUAAAUAGUGCAUGGGGUAAAAGGUCCUUUCCAAAAUUUGGUAUUGUUACAACAAUUUCGGUCAAAGUUCGGAUAUAUUUCAUACAUUUUUCCCUAUAUAAUUUGAAGGUUCGGUUAUUUCGUCGAUUUUUUUCGAACAAAACCAGAACCAAACCAAAUACUAUCAGUUUUUAAAAAUCUAAAACCAAACCAAACCAAACUCAAAUAAAAUCGGUUUAUUUAAUCGGUUUGGUUUGAUUUUUCGAUUUGAAUCAGUUUUUAUCCAACCGUAAACACCCCUACUUGUAACCACUCUUGCCAUGAUCUACCACUAAUUGCCAUCAACCUCACAUUUUAUACUAUAUGAAUAUCCACAUUCUUGACAUUUAUUUGUAAAAGAAAUUCUACACCUAUAAAUAGUGAUGUUUCUUUAUUUGUGAAAUAUAAUGAGAAUUAGGAGAAGUGUGAAAAAUAUUGUAGUGUGUAGUGAGGCUAGUAUAGUGAAAGAGAGAGUUGAGAUGGAGAAAAAUAUUCUAAGUCUUCAACUAAUUCCCUAUACAAAAGGGGAAAAUUAUGUGUUGAAGAAAUAUUCUUUUUGUGGAGCUUAAUUUAAACUAUUCAACUAACUUUAGAGUUGCUUGAGUUAAACGACGUUAUUGGGUUGUUGCAUCCUAGAGGCAACAAAUCAAGAAUAUUAUUGCUGAAUCGAUGUAAAUUAUGUCGCAGUAGACUUGAAUCUUCUUAAAGAGAGAGAUAUUUGUGUCUCAACCUGAAUACUUUUUUAUUUAUUUUUGUCAUGUUAUUUUCAACUCUAUUUUAUAUAUAUAUUACACCAUCACUACAAUAUGGCAUGGGCCUGGCUAGUAAUAUAUUAGACAUUAUAGAUACUUCAUUUUGUUUACAACAAUACCAAUCCUAAUAUGUUAGUGUGAUUUUAUAAGUAGUUUUGGGAAGAUAAAUAUUUGAAAGGUAGAAAGUUUAUUUCGAUAGACUCAAUUGGCUCAAGUAAAAUUAUUUUAAAAUAAUUUGGAAAAAGAAAUAGGAAGCAAAAAAGUCAUGAAAAAAAUAAAAAAUGAAGAAAGUAUAACAAAGUAUGUUGAAAUGAACAAUAACUAUAAGGCCUAAUCUAUCGGUGGCCCCUUAAAGCUGGCACGAAGUUUCACUUAGGCACCUCAAGUGGACGAUGUUCAUUUUAGACACCUCAUGUAGGGUCUCGUUGUGUCAUUUUGACACUCUUUUGCCAAUCAACAAAAAUAUAUGAGGUGUGUGUGUUACACUCGCAAAUGACGUGUAAAGUAGCGAAUUAAAUGACGACAUUUGUCAAAAAACAUUUGUAGAUAAUGAAAUUUGAGUAAAAAUAUAAAGUAACCAAUGACUCAAUGACAAGUGAAUUUUUGCCCAAAUAAUUUUUAAAGUAGCGAAUUAAAUGACGACAUUUGUCAAAAACAAUUUGUAGAUAAUGAAAUUUGAGAGUAACCAAUGACUCAAUGACAAGUGAAUUUUUGCCCAAAUAAUUUUUAAAAUAGCGAAUUAAAUGACGACAUUUGUCAAAAACAAUUUGUAGAUAAUGAAAUUUGAGAGUAACCAAUGACUCAAUGACACGUGAAUUUUUGCCCAAAUAAUUUUUUUAAAUCAAUAAAAUCCCCACGUGACCCCCCCACCCCCACCCUCACCCCACCCAAUUGUCUUCUCCCAAAACCCAUACCCAUUUGCAGAAACACCUGCCCCCCUCCCCCCGCCGCCUUCUCCAAAUGCCCAUACUCAUUUGCAGAAAACUCUGCACAUACCCGUUCCCCCACCCCAUUGUCUUCUCCAAAUACCCACAUCUCUUUUUUGCUAAAACAUCUGGGCACCUACAUACUCUUUCUUUUUUAUUAGUGUCUUCUUCAAAUAUUUUUUUUCUUUUUUACCCUAAUUAAUAGGUUUAUAAUUCACCAAAAAUUAAACUUACCCCUCUUUAGAUAUUAAAUUCUUUCAAGAAAGAAUCUCAUGAAUAAUUUAAUAUUUAAUCUCGAAAUGGGUCUAUUCCUAAUUUUCUAAAAUAGUUUCCAUCAUUUUUCAUCAUUUUACUGUAACUAUUUUUAUUCACCAUGUUGGAUAUUUAAGUUUGCAAAAAUGGUGGCUGAAAAUGGGAAAGAAGAAGAAAAAAAUAAUUAAAAAAUCGACUAAAUAGGUUUUUCACGCGCGUUCAACUAGUGUAUUACACUCACUAAGCCAUGUAAGCAAAAAGUGUCAAAAUGACACAGCGAGACCCUACAUGAGGUGUCUAAAAUGAACAUCGUCCACUUAAGGUGCCUAAGUGAAAUUUCGUGUCAACUUUAAGGGGCCACCGAUGGGUUAGGCCUAACUAUAAUUAGGUAACUGAAGUACGAAAAAAAAAAUGGAUAAAAAAUUAAAGAACAAAUAUGUAUGAGAGUACAUGUUACUAGUGGUAGAAACUACUCAUACCAUGUUGUACUAUUUUACUGCCAACAUUGCUUGAUCUUCUUGUUGGAUAGUCUUUCAGCUCUCAACUUGUUAAAUGAGUAAGAGCCCGUUAUUUUUAUUUUUUUUAUUUUUUAUUUUAAAAAAAAUAGUUUUGAAGUCAAAAAUAAAAAGUCAAAAAAUAAAAAGCAGAGAAAGAUUUACUUUUGAUAUUUAAUUUAUUUUAAGUCACUUUAAACUUAUUUUAAGUCAUUUUUUACCUUGCCAAAUGCUUCCUAACUUAUUUGAAGUCAUUUUAAAUUUAUUUUAAGUUAUUUUUUAUAUUUGUCAAACAUUUUUAGGAGUAAAAAGCUGACUUGAAAAUUAAGUUUGACUAACUUUUAAACCAAUCCAAACACCCUCUAAAUAUCCGUAUGAAUUAACUUAUUUUAGGUCAUUUUAAUUUUUAAAUAUUUUUUUAAUUUUAAAAGUAUUUGAAAUGGUUAUAAAUUGUUUUUAAGUAUCCAUGGAACACAAUUAUACUUUUCUUUCACCCUUCUGUCUUAAAUAUCAACAGGACCACAAAACACACAUUUCAGUUGUUGCCAAAUUUCUCAAAUUGAAAAAAAAAAAUAGUUACUGAAAAUACUUUUUGAAAUUCUAUAACAAUCCACUUUAACUUACAAGGUAGCACUAAUUUUAAAAGACUAAGUUUGCGUUUGAAUAUGCAAUAGGAAGUUUUAAUUUUAAAUUAGUAUUUGAAUACUUGAUUUGAGAUUAUAAUUUUAAAUCUUAAAUUAUCCCAAAAAAAACAAGGACAUGAUUUCAACUCUUUUAAAGGUAAAACUUGACCCACAAUAAAUUUAUAUUUUAUAUAUAUAAAAAGAUUCAUCAUUUUAAAUUUUGUUAAAAAAAACUCAUGAUCGGCGUGAAAAGAUUAUUUUGUACCAUAUUAAAUAAAUAUAUUAAAAAUAACUACUAUACUAUUAGGAAACAUGAAACUAGUUACGGAAAUUAUCAAUAAUCUCAAGCUAAUUCAUCGCUAAAAAGAUCCUAACUAAUUGAAUUUUCUUAUAAUUCAUCGCUAAUCUAUAGUUAAUUAAAU
rnacentral:lncRNA from 1 species